GGCCGUUUAGCGCAAUGGUAGCGCGUCAGUUUUCGGUCCACUGGAAACUCAAUCACUGAAGGUUGCGGGUUCGAGUCCCGUGAUGGUCG